rnacentral:rRNA from 1 species
GUCACCCAAGCCAGUACUACUCUCGCCCAAGCACGCUUAACUGCGGAGUUCUGAUGGGAUCCGGUGCAUUAGUG